AAUGCCUUGACCCUUUAAUACGGUUCCUCAUGUUGUGGUGACCCCCAACCAUAAAAUUAUGGCUCAGUUCCUAAGACCAUCGAAAAUAUGUGUUUUCCUAUUGUCUUAGGCGACCCCUUUGAAAGGGUCGUUCGGCCCCAAAGGGGUCACGACCCACAGGUUGAGAACCACUGGUGUAGAUGAAAAGCCAAUUCU